rnacentral:snRNA from 2 species
GCCACUUCGGUGGCCUGGCUAACAUUAAAAUUGGAACGAUACAGAGAAGAUUAGCAUGUACGUCGAAUGAACGCAUUCGAUGGGGGUCAUUUCGCACGGUUCGGCUCGAACUCACCCUCUAGCACCCACCCACCUCAAACAGGGCCCCUGCACAAGGAUGACAACAUGCAGUCAGAAAAGGUAACCUACGGGUUAUAAAAUUUU